rnacentral:rRNA from 1 species
ACUAACGCUGGCGGCGUAGCCUAACACAUGCAAGUCGAACGAUCUUUGAUUAUAGCAAUAUUAUUAAAGAGGAGUGGCGAACGGGUGAGUAACACGUAGAUAAUCUGCCUUCAGACGGGGAACAACUCAGGGAAACUGUGCUAAUACCCGAUGAGACCACAAGAAGGGAUUUUUGUGGCCAAAGGCGGGCAGCAAUGCUCGUGCUGAAAGAUGAGUCUGCGUCCUAUCAGCUAGUUGGUGGGGUAAAUGCCUACCAAAGGCUAAGACGGGUAGCCGGCCUGAGAGGGUGAACGGCCACACUGGGACUGAGACACGGCCCAGACUCCUACGGGAGGCAGCAGUGAGGAAUUUUCCGCAAUGGGCGCAAGCCUGACGGAGCGACGCCGCGUGAGGGAUGACAGCUUUCGGGUUGUAAACCUCUUUUAUUAAGGAAAAAGAUCUAUAUGCUAAUAUCAUGUAGAUUUGAUGGUACUUAUUGAAUAAGCCCCGGCUAACUACGUGCCAGCCGCCGC